rnacentral:rRNA from 1 species
UACGAAGGGGGCUAGCGUUGCUCGGAAUCACUGGGCGUAAAGCGCACGUAGGCGGAUCUUUAAGUCAGGGGUGAAAUCCUGGAGCUCAACUCCAGAACUGCCUUUGAUACUGGAGAUCUCGAGUCCGGGAGAGGUGAGUGGAAUUCCUAGUGUAGAGGUGAAAUUCGUAGAUAUUAGGAAGAACACCAGUGGCGAAGGCGGCUCACUGGCCCGGUACUGACGCUGAGGCGCGAAAGCGUGGGGAGCAAACAGG